GAAAUGCGAUAAGUAGUGUGAAUUGCAGAAUUCAGUGAAUCAUCGAAUCUUUGAACGCACAUUGCGCCCUUUGGUAUUCCUUAGGGCAUGCCUGUUCGAGCGUCAUCUAAACCUUCAAGCCCUGCUUGGUGUUGGGUGCCUGUCCCGCCUCCGCGCGCGGACUCACCUCAAAUCCAUUGGCGGCCCCCGCGUCGCCCACGAGCGCAGCAGAAACGCGAACUCGUGAGCCCGUCCGGGCGGCUCCCAGAAGCUACACCCACCCAGUUUGACCUCGGAUCAGGUAGGGAUACCCGCUGAACUUAAGC
rnacentral:misc_RNA from 1 species